CCUACGGGCGGCAGCAGUGAGGAAUAUUGGUCAAUGGACGAGAGUCUGAACCAGCCAAGUAGCGUGAAGGAUGACUGCCCUAUGGGUUGUAAACUUCUUUUAUAUGGGAAUAAAAUGUUCCACGUGUGGGAUUUUGUAUGUACCAUAUGAAUAAGGAUCGGCUAACUCCGUGCCAGCAGCCGCGGUAAUACGGAGGAUCCGAGCGUUAUCCGGAUUUAUUGGGUUUAAAGGGAGCGUAGGUGGAUUGUUAAGUCAGUUGUGAAAGUUUGCGGCUCAACCGUAAAAUUGCAGUUGAAACUGGCAGUCUUGAGUACAGUAGAGGUGGGCGGAAUUCGUGGUGUAGCGGUGAAAUGCUUAGAUAUCACGAAGAACUCCGAUUGCGAAGGCAGUUCACUGGACUGUAACUGACACUGAGGCUCGAAAGUGUGGGUAUCAAACAGGAUUAGAUACCCCAGUAGUC
rnacentral:rRNA from 1 species